UACGUAGGGUGCAAGCGUUGUCCGGAAUUAUUGGGCGUAAAGAGCUCGUAGGCGGUCUGUCGCGUCUGCUGUGAAAACUCAGGGCUUAACCCUGAGCUUGCAGUGGGUACGGGCAGACUAGAGUGCGGUAGGGGAGACUGGAAUUCCUGGUGUAGCGGUGAAAUGCGCAGAUAUCAGGAGGAACACCCGUGGCGAAGGCGGCUCUCUGGGACGGUACUGGACGCUGAGACGCGAAAAGCGUGGGGAGCGAACAGG
rnacentral:rRNA from 1 species